rnacentral:rRNA from 1 species
UGGGGAAUUUUGCACAAUGGGGGAAACCCUGAUGCAGCGACGCCGCGUGAUUUAGAAGGCCUUCGGGUUGUAAAAAUCUUUUCUAUGGGAAGAAAAUGACAGUACCAUAGGAAUAAGGACCGGCUAAUUACGUGCCAGCAGCCGCGGUAAUACGUAAGGUCCGACCGUUGUCCGGAAUCUUUGGGCGUAAAGGGUACGUAGGCGGGUAAGUAAGUUAGAAGUGAAAUCCUAUAGCUCAACUAUAGUAAGCUUUUAAAACUGCUCAUCUUGAGGUAUGGAAGGGAAAGUGGAAUUCCUAGUGUAGCGGUGAAAUGCGCAGAUAUUAGGAGGAAUACCGGUGGCGAAGGCGGCUUUCUGGCCAUAACCUGACGCUGAGGUACGAAAGCGUGGGUAGCAAACAGG